GACCCCUGGCAAUGGCCAAAGAGACACCUUGUUGUUGGUAUUGUUCUUCCAUCAUUUAGGGGCAGAGCAGAUCGCAGUCCUCUGCUCAUCCUAGCUUGAUGCCUGGAUUUGUGACCAAAGCUGUGUUAUGCCUAAGACACAUAA